rnacentral:lncRNA from 1 species
AGGUGCCAAUGCUACACUUCCUUAGCUAGGAGCUAGCAAUGCUACGUGGAAUUGCAUGUCGGUAUCUUCUGAGAGGUUGUUCUCUCUCCACUUCUCAUUCAAGUCUGAAGAUGCUUACAGUCACCUGCAGUACUUCUAAAUCAGAGUUUUGAGAUGGAAGAGGUCACAGCUCCAAUGAUCUCAGCCGAAGAAGAUGAGGAAGAAGACCAGCACAAGUGAGUCUCUCUCAAAUCAGCUUUUGCUGGUAUCAGGAUUUCUCUGGAGGACUCAACAAAGUCCUCUCCAUGCCUGAGAUUCCUACAAUGAUUGAAAUUCCAUUGUUUCUUCCCCGUGGCAUCCAGCCCACUGUACGCUGUGGCAUUUGGACAGGUUCUUGCCUCGAGUUCCUGCUCUGCCUUCAUUUCACUAUACCUAGAAGCUGAAAUAAACUAUUUCCUCCACAA